AGGACGAACGCUGGCGGCGUGCUUAACACAUGCAAGUCGAACGGUAAGGCCCCUUCGGGGGUACACGAGUGGCGAACGGGUGAGUAACACGUGGGUAAUCUGCCCUGCACUUCGGGAUAAGCCUGGGAAACUGGGUCUAAUACCGGAUAUGAACUCCUGCCGCAUGGUGGGGGUUGGAAAGUUUUUCGGUGCAGGAUGAGCCCGCGGCCUAUCAGCUUGUUGGUGGGGUAAUGGCCUACCAAGGCGACGACGGGUAGCCGGCCUGAGAGGGUGAUCGGCCACACUGGGACUGAGACACGGCCCAGACUCCUACGGGAGGCAGCAGUGGGGAAUAUUGCACAAUGGGCAAAGCCUGAUGCAGCGACGCCGCGUGGGGGAUGACGGUCUUCGGAUUGUAAACCCCUUUCGAGUAGGGACGAAGCGCAAGUGACGGUACCUGCAGAAGAAGCACCGGCUAACACGUGCCAGCAGCCG
rnacentral:rRNA from 1 species